rnacentral:lncRNA from 1 species
ACAGGAGGAUUUUUGCAGAGCUUCCAUCCAGUUCAGAAACAAAGCAAUUCAAUACAUGUCUUCAAGAUUUCUAAAGGCAAUGACUUAAUUCUAAGUUCCAUGAAAGCAGGCAUUGUGUGAAUUUCUCCUGCAUCUGGAACUGGCCUAGCACACCAAGAAAGGAACACCAGUAAGAAAGAAUAUGACAGAGUUACCUGUCGAUCCAUCUUUCUCAGAAUGUACUGCAUUCUUUCUACAUUGGAAACAAGUUCUGGUUUGAUUGAAAAGUGUGGCCUCUGAAGAUUGUUGGUACCCUCAUUUAGUUAGAAGCUUAAUAAGUAGAACCAUGGAGAAUUGCCAAGAUUGCUGACUAGAUGUGGCCAGGAGAAAUAUCUCCCACUGAGAGACUGGGACAUUGGAAAGACUAUAACACACCUCUGAGUAGAUCUUCUGAUGGAAGACAUUAAGAGUGGAUGCAGAGAGGAUGCAGAUGCUGGGCUGAAGAGAGAGGAAGCUGGAAACCCUGCAUAGUGUGGCUGAGCCUCAGGACUUGUACCUGGCCCUCAGAGACUCCUGGGGGAAGGGUGAGUUUACAGGUGAGGAGUGGCCUGCUCUCACCAUGGACCCAUUCUGGUAGGUCCCUCAACCUCUAUGGGCAUCUGAGAUGGUAGGAAAAGCUGCUCAGAGAGGUCAUAUGGGCAGGACUCCAGCCUAUGCAGAGCCCAGAGUGGUGGGAGAACAGCUGCAGUGAAGCACAUCCAGGGACGGCCAUCCUCCAAGGCUCACUGUGCUUCUCCAGGAUACUUUAGCCUCAAUAUGACUGUUAGAGCUAGACAAAGCAGGGCAGUCUUGCUCGUGGGAUGCGGCCUGAUGCCUGAUCUGAUGCUCUGUUACCUGCUGGCCUCUCUUGGGGAGCCAGUCUGGUCGUGCUUGCUUGAAGUGCAGCCUUGGAUACCCAACAGGGGUGCUUCUAGGAACCCUCAUCAUAGCUCCUUCAAUGGCAGACUUAGCUCCUUCAAUGGCAGACUGUGCCUGAUUAUCAGAGAACUCCAGCAGACCAGGCCCCACUUACAUGAACCAGCCCACGCACAGCUUCACCCUAUCACAGCCCUCCCGUAAUGCUUUACUGACAUGCAUUUGCUCAUGGCCAUUCUCCAUCGCUGUGCUUGUAUGAGUCCACCUUGUUGCUUCCCCCUGCCAUUAACAUGCAGGUUCACUCCUGUGCCAGCACUAAUGUGUGCACAGAUGCUGGCAACACUGUUCUCCCCCCAACCCCUGCUACCACCGCCACCAAUGCUGCCGGUGUGAAUGCAUACAUGGACACCAGCAACUCCAUCUCUGCUAGUGUACUGCCCUUGCUGUGCUGUCAUCACUGGCAUAAACAUGUGCAGGAACACCACCUCCCUGCUCCCACAGUUGCUCUGUGCAAGCCAACAUGUGUGCACCUUGCCACAUUGCUGUGGCUGCUGGUAUGCAUGAGCCAGCAUGGAUCCCACUGCCACUACUCCAGUGACAUGCUUUGACCAGCACCCCUCCCCAUCAGAGUGUGGUGGCCAGUGGACAAGAACACCUCAGUCUCUCCAGUGCAGCAGCUUCCUAACCUUGAGGGGCCAGAGAACAAGGCUGGGGGCCCAGUACCAGCCUCCCAGAGUUAAAACAUGCAGCCCAGCAGUGUAGAGCUGAGCCUUGGCUUUCUAAAAUCUUCCAGAAAUAAAUGAAGCCAGUUGACUGAACCCAUCAUAUGCCACAAUCUAACUCCCAGGGCAUCAAAGAAGAUAAAAGCCAAAAUCCCCAUCCAAAGGACAGUAAUAUCAAAGAUGAGAAAGAACCAGUGCAAAAAACUCUGGCAAUUCAAAAAGCCAGAGUGUCUUUUUACCUCCAAACGAUCACUCCAUUUCCUCAGUGGUGGUUCUUAACUAGGCUGAAAAGACAGAAAUGACAGAUAUAGACUUCAGAAUAUGGAUAGGAAAGAUGAUCAAGAUUUGGGAGAAGAUUGAAACCCAAUCCUAGGAAGCUAAGGAAUACAAUAAUGCAAUACAGGAGCUGAAAGAUGAAAUGGCCAUUUUAAGAAAGAACCAAACUGAUGUGAUAGAGUGACAGAGCUGAAAAACUCACUUUGAGAAUUUCACAAUACAAUUGCAAGUAUUAACAGCAGAGUAGACCAUGCUGACGAAGGACUCUCAGAUCUUGAAGACCAGUUCUCCAAAGUUAACUUGGUCAGACAAAAAUAAAGAAAAAAGGAUAUAAAAAGAAUAAACAAAACCUCCAAGAAACAUGAGAUUAUGUAAAGAGAUCAAAUUUCUGAUGCAUUGGCAUCCUUGAAAAUGAGGGAGAGAAAGCACGCAACUUAGAAAACAUAUUUCAAGAUAUUGUCAAUGAAAAAUUCCCCAACCUCGCUAGAGAGUCCAAUAUUCAAAUCCAGGAAAUGAAGAGAACGCCUGCAAGAUAUUAUACAAGAUGAUCAUUCCUAAGACACAGAGUCACCUGAUUCUCUGAGGUUGAAAUGAAAGAAAAAAUGUUAAAGGCAGCUAAAGAGAAGGGACAGGUUGCUUACAAAGGCAACCCCAUCAAGCUAACAGCAGACCUUUCAGCAGAAAUCCUACAAGCCAGAAGAGACUGGGGGCUUAGAUUCAGUAUUUUUAAAGAAAAUAAAAUCCAAAUAAGAAUUUUGUAUUCAGCCAAACUAAGCUUCAUAAGCAAAGGAGAAAUAAGAUCCUUUUCAGAUAAGCAAAUACUGAAAGAAUUACCAUCAGAUAUGCCUUACAUGAGGUUGUGAAGGGAGUACAAAACAUGGAAAGGAAAGAUCAUUAUCAGCAACCACAAAAACACACUUAAGUACAUAGACCAUUGAUACUAUAAAGCAACUACACAUCAAGUAUGUAUAAUACCAGCUAAAAACAUGAUGACAGGAUUAAAUCUGCACUAUCAAUAUUAACCUUAAAUGGCAAUGGGCUAAAUGCAUCAAUUAAAAGGCACAACAUCGCAAGCUGGAUAAAGAAGCAAAAUUCAUUUGUGUGCUGUCUUCAAGAGAUCCAUCUCACAUGAAACAACAUGGAUAGGCUCAAAAUAAAGAGAUAGAGAAAAUCAACCAAGCAAACGAGAAACACACAACCAUAAAAAAGAAUGUAUUCAUGUCCUUUGUGGUGACAUGGUUGGUGCUGGAGGUCAUAAUCCUGAGCAAACUAAUCAGGACAGAAAACCAAAUACUGCAUGUUGUCACUUAUAAGUGGAAGCUAAACACUGAAUACACAUGGACACAAAGAAGAAAAUAACAGACCCUGAGGCCUACUUGAGAAUGGGAGGAGAGUGAGGAUUGAAAAACUAUCUAUUGAGCACUAUGCUUAUUACCUUGGUGAAAAAAUAAUCUGUGCAGCAAAUCCCUGUAACAUGCAAUUUACCUAUAAUAAGCCUGUGCAUGUACCUCUGAACCUAAAAUGAAAGUUACAAAAAGAAAAAAAAAGAAACUAUACAAAAUAUAUUUGUAGGAAAAAUGAGUAAAGUGAAUUCAGUGUUAAACUCUUUGAUGAUUAUUAUUAAAAUUAUGUAAAUCUAUGUAAUUUAAGUAGACAUUUUGCCAAAUGUGGUUUCAGUGAAGACUUUUAAUAUCAUGGUAUUUUUGUUUUCAUCUUACGGGAUCUUUUUGAGUAAUAAAAAUAAUAUUUUCAAACAACUACAAAAAUAUAUUAGUAAACAUUAUAGGAUCUAAACAACACUAUUUGCCAUCUUGAUCUAGUUGGCAUUUGUAGAACAAGAAUCCAACAACUCCAGAAUAUACUUUUCCACCCUAAAUACACAUAGUACAUUCACCAAAAUAGACCAGGAACUUCAGUCAGGAAUGAGAUAGAUGUCAUGACUUGAUGUUUAAGAAGAAUCUAUCACCACCAAAGCAAUCACUUUGCAAAUUGAUAAAACCUAUAUUUACAUUUUGAAAUAUUUCCUAAUUUAUUAAAUUGUUGUAAGAAAAGUGAAUUAAAUAUACUUAAAGUGCCACAGCAAGACCUGUAAUCAUAGCUGUCUUUUUUUUUUAAUUUUCACAUACAACCUCAUUGUUUAAUUAGCAAAAAUAUCAAAUUCUAAAUUUGGAAAAUAAUAUAGAAUCCAUUUUAGGAGCAUUUUGAAAUGGCACUGUGUCUGUGAUCAUAUGGAAGCUUAUGUACUUGACAUCUGAGAAACACAUAAUUCUAUUUCAAACUUUCUCCUGUUCUCAGCACUUUUAGCCUUGAAUGAUAUGCUCUUGGCAAUUUUUAUUUUGUGAUCACAAAACUUACUGCUUUCACUUCAUGUUUCAAAGUAUGAUUUGGAGGGAAAAUUAACCCUGUUCAAAACUAAUCCUUUCCACAGUCACUGCCACUAUCCCUUUAACAUUUCCUAAAGGUCAUUGUUGAGAUUUCAUUAUCAUGUUGCUGAUUUUUCUGCCCUUUUUUUUUCUUUUUUUCCACUAUCAGGGGAAGAGAACAUUCUGCAAAAGGUUUGCUGGUCUCCCUGUUCCCUUACAGUCCCAAAAGAAGAAAACUGAUUCCUUAAGCUUCAGAAUCUCUAGGCUAGCUCCAGAUUCUUAUUUAGAUACAAACACUCAUGGCUUUCAGAGACCCAAAGAAUCUUAGAAGGAAAGCACUGAGGGAUUACAAAAUAUUUUUGAAGGCUACAGUCUCUAUUUUGAAAAUAAGAAUGAAAAAGGUAUCAUCACCACCUCUGAAAACUGUACCCGCCCCCCAGUCAAUGUGCAGUGUUUUAGUACAUCCAGUUUCUGAUGGGGACAAAACCCAUAUGCAUAUUAAAACAGAGGCUCAAAUUCAGUGUCAAAAGCCUUAAAUGAUUAGCCCAAGUAUUAAGAAAUGCAUAAAAGAAGGCCCUGACAUUUAUUAGGCACAAAAAAUGCUUUCCCUUACACUUAUAGUUCGGCAAGAUGAUAUUAGAAACUUUGUUUUAAAUAUAUAUUCAAUAGCCUUCUUUUUAAGAAGGAUAAACUAGGUCCAAAGAUGUGAAGCAGCUUGCCCAAAUAUACACAAAAAAUCAAUCUGACCAGUUUUUGUUACACCCAUAGUCAUCAGUUGCAGACUUCUCAAAUAUUUUUGGACCAAUUUUGUUUGGGUUUACUUUCCUAAAAAUCUUCACCUUGUUGUUGAUCUUUAAAGGUUUGCAGUUGUUGUUCUUAUUAAAAUCAUUUAAACCUUAGCCUAGGGAUCUGUAUUCUCCCGGAGAACUAUGACAACAGAGGCAGGAUUUGACUUAAAGCAAUUAAAGCAGGCCAGAGCUGCAUCCCUUCAGUAGGUAAAUGUUGAUAACUUCAAUGUAAGGCAGCAAUGUGGACACUGCUUGUUUCAGGCACUCAGAGGCUUUCAGCUUAAUCCACAGCAGUGAGCAAAAGGAUUGCUCCAUUUAAUUGGUUCUGUAGACUGCAUUAUUUAAGGAAUAGCAAAUAUUGUUUGGAGUCUGUUUGAAGGGAAACAGAAAAACAACUGCUGCAAAAUGGGAAUACAACAAUUUCUUAUCGACUUCUCUGAAAUAUUGAGAGAUUAAUGAGUCUGGGCCCAUAACAUAGUUAUAUUCCUAAGAAAAGUUGAUAUAUAUGCCAAAACCUUUUCCAGUUUAGUUUACUGCUGUUACUACUGGAAACAGCAUAAGACUUAAAGCCAAAGCUCUAACCCUGAGUCCUGGUUUUGCCUGUAAUUACUUAUGAGACUUUGGGAAAGUUAUUUCACCUCUGUGGGUUUUUCUUUCUACAUCUUUGAAGUGAAUAUUGUUAUACUGACCUCACAGGGUAAUUUGGAGAGUUAAAUGCAUAAAAACACAUAAUAUUGCAUUGUAAGCCAUAAAAAUGUGUACAAGUGGUUGUCUUAUACUCAUAUAUCAUUAAACAUUUAACGUCAUAGCCAUGCAGCAAUAUGCCAGUAGUUCCCAAAGUAUGCUCUACAGAUAACUUGUGCCAUAUAUAUUCUCUGAAAAAUGAGUUUUGGAUCUUUUUGGCUCCAAGGUACUCUUUGCUACAGUCCUAAUGUGUUGUCCAAAAUUCAUGUGUUGGAAACUUAAUUUCCAAAGCAACAAUGUUGGAAGGUGGGGUCCUUCAGAAAGUGUUUAGGUCAUGAGGAUUCUUCUCUUAUGAACUGAUUAAUGCCUUUAUUAAAAGGGGUUGUGCGAGUGGCAUCUCUCUCCUCUGCCCUUCUGCCAUGUGAGGACACAGUGUUUAUCCUCUCUUGCUUUUCCACCACCUGCCACACAAGGACUCAGCAAGAGGGCUCUCACCAGAUACAGACUCUGUGGUCUUGAACUUUCCAGCCUCCAGAACUGUGAGAAUUUCUAUUGUUUAUAAAUUACCCAGUCUGUGGUGCUUUAUUAUAGCAUCACAAAUGAAAGAAGAUAGUCAUUGAGCCCUGCUAGACGCUCUUCUCAAUUAAUAAUAAAAUAUGGCUCAUAAUUUUCUGUUUUAAGAGGCUCGUAAUAAUACAAAAGGCAUUAUUUAAUCCUUUGUAUUCGGGUUCAAUUUCAACAGUAUAAGUGUAGUCUUUUUCAAGACAGGUCAUUCCCAUCCCCCUUUAUUUUUUUGCAUUUUUCUCUUGAGCCUCAGCCUGUACCAUGGCACCUCUUUUCAAGGUAUAUAGAUACAGUACAAGGAAUAAUAAUAAAGAUGAAAUAAUUUGGUAUUUCCUAGUCUCAGAAGAAGAAGUAAAAAGAGCAACUAAAGCUGCAGUCUAUUUUUUCUCCAAAGUUGUUCAUGAGACUUUUCUAACUUCCCUUAUUUUCUCAAGUCACUUCAUCUAAGGUCUUUACAUCAUAAGUCUGAAAGUUAUUUAUUUUUGUGGUAAAGAUCUUUUUUCUCUUUUUAGAAAUGUAUGCCUGCUUCUGAAACUAACCUGGCAACAUUUCAGAGGUGAAGGACAGAGCUCAAAAGCCGGGAAAGAUAGUUUUCAUUUUUAUAUUGAAAACUCAGUACUCCAACCUGAACUUACUGUGGACAACCAUAUGUUUACUGGUUCUAAAUUUGAACUACAUGUCUCUGCUUCUUUGUUCAAUGUCAUAUCCAACAUGCCACAAACUUGGACAACUCCAACUGGGACAUACUCCAAUCCUAGAGUCAUAGGCUCUUAGAGAUAGAAGUCCUUUUGUCUUAUUACAUUAUCUACCAAGAAAGAUGCUGCAUAUUUUCAAUGCCUUUUAAUGUCUUUCCUCUGAGAUCCCCUGAAGUUUUAAAGAAAGCACCUAUUUUGAGCGAUGACUAAAAAGCUGAGAAAGUGGACUCAAAAUUUGACAUUAAAUUCAGCUAAUAUAUAGACCCACACUGGGUAGGCCUUAAGUUGAUUCCUUAAUUCACAUAUUUAUUUACUUCAUUAAACAUUCAUUCAUUUUUUAAAGCACCAUUUUGUGCAAGGCCCAUAGGCGAGUUGGCUUUCACCUAGGUCCAGAAUAGCCUAUUUGCUGCACACUUGGUUCCCUUAGGCCCAUCCUGCUCUUAGGGACAAAUCAGGCACAGUACUCUCUCUACAGAGGUCUUCUCUGAAUUCUUCUCAGCACAAUGUUCCCGAAAUGCUCAAUCAGAGCUGACAUGCAAGAAGCAAAAAUGACCACCUCUGACCUAGUCAGUAAUGGCAAUAAUAUCUGAACAGCUAUUGAGCCGCUGUGCUAGGCAUUUCAUGUAGUUUAGUUCAAUUAAUCUUCACAAUAAUCCUAACAAUGUAGGUACUAUUAUCAUAUCUUUCUGGCAAAUAAGGAAAUUGAGCUCAGCAGAGUUAAAUAGCUGGACUACAGUCACACUGCUAGUUAAUGGUAUAGCUGAGAUUGAGCCCACGCAGUUUGAAUCUAGAGACAGUACACUGGGAGGUAGUGCUGAGAAAGUUUUUUAGAUCCAAGAGUAUCAACAGAAAUACCUACUAGUUCAUAUACAGGUGGCGCUGGUGAAAAUGCAGUUGGCUUAAAAAUCUUGAGUUCCACUUUCAACUCUGACAUUCAAAACUGCGUGUUUCUUAAAAAUUACAGUGGUAAUGAAUUACCUCUAUCAUGAGUUUUAAGAAACUCUUGAGUGAUAUGAAAUAAAUCAGAUAGUACAUAAAAGAGAGUUAUUAUAGUGAAUAAUAUGUAAUGGAAACUCAAUACACAUGAAGUUGCUCUCUUUUUUUCCUAAAGUCAUAGGGGAUGAAUGGAGGUUUCUUAUCUUUCUCUUCCUUCUAACUCUUAGUUUAGUAAACAAACUUUUUCUCCUUCUGGACAUUUUUUUGGGAAUAGAGUUUUUGCUCCUUGUUGGGAUAAUGGGAAAGAGGCUACAUUGUAGAAGAUGGCAAUAAGAUUUGUCAUCUUUGUAGGAAAAUCCACAAUCACUACGAUGGAUUUUUUCCUAUUUUGUGUAAAAGACUUGAUACUUGUAAAAUAUAUAUUCUUCUGGAGUGAGUAGAAGCUGAUGUUUUUGUCUGCCAUUUACAUUUUACUGUAAAUUGAAACUUCUGUGAGAUUAUCUUUUGGAGGUCAAGAUUAGAAUGCAUUGUUUAUUAUUAAGAACUUAGGUGGUAUUAAUAUGAAAGAAAAGGAUAGAAAGUAUAAAUGGAGAGUCAAAAUAAACACAUCACCCACUUCUGGUCAUGCCUGAUAUGGUCCUGCAUCCAUAGCUGCCUAAUCUGAAGAUGCAAAUAAAUGAUUCCAAAAUAUACAUGUAUGUAUGAUAGACAACAACCUCGGUGCAUGGAUAUGAAUGGCAUGGCAUUUUAUGGUUGGAGAGACAGAAAGAGGACGCUCAGUCUAGGGUUCUAUUUAAGUGAAAUAUACUUCAAAAUUACGCCUCAUUUUGAGUCUGACAUCAUUUUCAAAGGUUAGCUGCCUACUGCCAAGCUUCUGGAACAGCCUUGGGGUAUACCUAUGGGAAAUGACUUAAUACUGGUAAUCAUUCCUUUAUCUCAUCAAGACCAAUUUAUAACCCAGUGGUUUAGGAGUUCUUCUAAAGGCUAGUUUCAAACCCAGUAAAUAUGAAAGUUGUUUAUGAAAGAAAAACUUCCUACCAUACAAACCAUCAUUAAUCAUAAGCCUUGCCCAAGUAGUGAAGAGGUGAAGUCAAUGAGGAAUACUCAGUGCUGAAGGAAGGGUGGGAAAUAGGGCUUAAAAUGAGACAACAUGAGUUCAGAUGCCAGUUUUGCUAUUUCACAUCAGUGUGAAGCCUAUAUUAUUUAACUCCCCUGAACAUUUAUUUGUUUAAAAAAAAGGGAUAUCUAUGCUUUUUUUCCUGGAUGGUUGAGAAACCUAAAUUAGAAGAGUAUGUGAACGUGCUUGGUAUACUAAGAUGACAUGUUCUGACCCUGUCAGCUAAAUAUACUUGGAAUUUUCUGCUCUAUUCCAGAGGCAUCUGGUAUAGAAGUACUCUAUCAGACACUUCUAUAAUCUCUUUAUGACCUGGUGGCUUUCUAGGAAAGGGGUCUUUAUCUGGCAGCUGAAUUCAGAAAGCUUGUGACUGGUGCUAGUACCUUAAAGUGAUGUUUUCACAGAGCACCAUGAAGCUCAAGUUCCAUGUCUGGUGUCCCUUUUCCUUGUGAUUAGGACCACCACUCAUGGUCAGUGAGAAACUUGGUGGUUCUUCUAUCACUUAUCUUCCUAGUAGGAGAAGCUAUAUUAUGCAAUGAAGAUGCUGAACUGGAAUUCAGGAAAUUCAAGUUGCAAAUUAUAGACAGCCUUCUGGAUCUUUAAUUGUUUACUAAUAAGCUGUGGAAUAGGGAGGAAUGGUGGCAAAAAAAUGUUCUCCUAUCUAAUUUGUCACUCCCUGACUCUCUUUCUUAUUCAAUCUUGAUGCCUUUUGACCUUCAUAACUCCCCACCUUUCUACCUUUCUUGAUAUGUCUAAAAAAAAAUUGGACAAUUUUUCUUCUGUGUUUUAUUUAAGACCUUGACUUCCUUUAGAGAAAGAUCAUGAUGUAAAUGUGAAAUAGAAUGUUAUGCCUUCUCAGCCCAUCUUGUUCCAAAAAUAUUAUACUGUGGCUAAGACUAUAUAGUCUCUUCACAUUUUUUCCCGUGAUGCCGUAUAUGAAAAUACAAUUAUUUAUUUUAAUUAUGUAUUCAAGUAAAAGAAUGCUCCUCUAAAUGAGUACUCCCCUAAUGAGAAUGAAUGGAGUUUUAAAAACAAAUCUUUUCCAUGCCAGUUAUCAUGCUGUUUUCCUUUGUUGGUGAUAUUCAACAUUUUCUACUCUAGAGGCCAGUAUAACGUUAAAAAUGAAAAUCUUUUUUCUUCCAUGAUAAGAUCUUAAAAACAAAGUCCUUAAAACAAAUCUCACAUAAAACAGAAAAAAAGAAAUCUCUAACCACAGAAAAGUACUUGUAAAAUGAAGAUAAUCCAAAACAGAAAGUCCAGGGAGAAUUAAACAAUGAUUGAGGUUGGUAGAUGAAUUAGGGGCACAAAAUAUUUCUUCAAAGUUAUCUAAUCUGGGGAACAACAAUAUAUAACCAGUAGAAUGUUGGAAAUAAUACAAGAAAAAUGCAAAACAAAAGAAAGCCAUCAUGAAGUAUCAGAUAGAGUGGGAACAAAUAUUUAUAUGCAGAUUCUAGAAGUGCUUCUAUCAUGCUUAAAUGACAGUGAUAGGAAAAUAAAGAAAGGAAAUACCUGUCUCUACAUUUGGGGUAUCUACACUUUAUAAAAAAUCACUGGUCUAUUAAAAUCCAUAUUCAACCCCUACCUUUUCAUGCUUAGCUAAUUACCUUGCCUCUUUCAUCUAGAAAACCAAGGUCAUAGCUAUAAUAUCCUCCAAAUCUUUCUUACAUGUAACUCCACAAGCUAGUUUAUAUCUGCCAUCAAAUUCAUUGCCUUCCUCUCAGUACCAGAAGAAAGGAUGCCUCACUUUUUGUUUAAAUCCAAACCCUGACCAUGUCUGAGGCCACAUCUCCUCUCACUCCUGCCAAGAUUUGCUCCAUUAGAUAUUCUGCUUCUUCAACUAAUAUCUUUCAUUUUCCCCCACUCUCACCUCCCCACCCCUGUUCAUUCUCCUCAGCCAAUCCACCCUCACCUCCCCACCCGUUCAUUCUCCUCAGCCAAUAAACAUGUUUGAACAUUUCUUACCCCAAAAAGGGAAAAGAAACAAACAAACAAACAAAUACUGUGUUUGCGUCUUGAUUAAGCAACUGUUCGAUCUCUCUGCUCUGUUCCUCCAAAUCUCUGACAAGAACAGUCUAUAAUUUCUUCUAAUUCACUCUUCAGUUUAUUUCAGUCUAAUGUUUGGCCUUACCACUCCUCUGAACCUUGCCUUGCUGAGUCACCGAUAACCUUCUAAAUGACCAAUCCAUGGAUAUUUUUAAAUCCUUGAUUUAUAGGACUUUUCGUUGCACUUGCCACGGCAAUUAAAUCAUUUAUCUUGAACUUCCUAAUCCCCUUUCUUUGGUGUCAUUUUAUUCUCCUUCUGUCUAUACACUGGUAGUCUUCUUGGACUACUGUUCAUCACCUGACACUUUAUUUAUGAUAACCCACAUAUUGAUCUUAUAUUUGAAAGUCUUCAGUAGCUCCCCAUCACCAUCAGAUAAAACCAAACUCCUUAGCAUGGGACAGCAGGCAUUCCAUAAACUGGCACCUUGCCUAAAGCAAUACUUGAGCAUAAAAUUAUAAAUGUUUGUAAAACUAAUAUAUUUUAUAUAUAUAUAGCAGUAAAUAAAAAGAGUUCUAAGAUUUUAAUGUUUGCAACUAAUCUGAGUCUUUAUGUUUCCGUGUGCUUAUUCAAGUUUGGACCAGGCAUCACAGUUUUUUUCUUGGAGAAAUUAAGACUCUGAAUGUUUGAUUGGUAUAAUGUCAUAAAAUAUAGCUAUAGUGAAUCAGUCUAGUCUACUCUCUUAAUAUAAGAAAUGCUGUAUUUUUGGCAGGGCGUGGUGGCUCACACCUGUAAUCCCAGCACUUUGGGAAGCCAAGGCAGGCAGAUCACGAGAUCAGGGGUUCGAGACCAG